GGGCUCGUAGCUCAGCAUGGAAGAGCGCCGGACUUUUAAUCCGUUGGCCGCGGGUUCAAAUCCCGCCGAGCCCG
rnacentral:tRNA from 3 species